AUGUCUCCCCAGUGUCCCCACCUCUGUCCCCAGAUGUGUCCCCAUGUCCCCCUUUCCUGUCCCCCUCUCCCCCUUUCCUGUCCCCCUGUCCCCAGAUGUGUCCCCAUGUCCCCCUUUCCUGUCCCCCUGUCCCCCUUUCCUGUCCCCCUGUCCCCAGCUGUGUCCCCCUGUCCCCCUUUCCUGUCCCCUCUCCCCCUUUCCUGUCCCCCUGUCCCAUCCCCUCCCCCCGUCCCCGUGUCCCCCCUCCCCCCACAUACCCCCCUGCGGUUCCUGCCCCCCCCCUCCCCUCCCCGCUGUCCCCGGGGUGUCCCCGGGGGUGGCACUGCCCGUGCAGGGGGUGGCCCUGUCGUGGCCCUGUCGUGGCCCUGUCCCUGUCCCUGUCCCUGUCCCUGUCCCCGCCGUGUCCCCGCGCGCGGCCCGGGCGUGUCCUGGCACAGGAGGAGGAGCCGCCGCAGCUCCGGCAAUGGGGGACCCCCAGGCACUGGGUGGGCGUGGCCCGGCCGUGGCCCCGCCCCCCGCUGAGGUGGAGGUCACGUGGCAGGAGAUCCUGGCCCUGAGCGAGCUCCAGGUGAGAUACACCCACCGUGGCCACGCCCCUCUAUGAGACACGCCCACUCUGGUUAUGUCACCCUUUUGACCACGCCCACAGAUCACGCCCCCUCUGAGAGCCACACCCACCCAGGCCACGCCUGUCCACGCCACGCCCCUUUAUUAGCCACGCCCACUCCAAUCACGCCUCCUUUCUAGGCCACGCCCCCAGCGACCAGCUCUUAGCGCCCCCUGGUGGCCGCAGCACCCCCCUCAUCCCCAUUCCCCCCCGUCG